CAGGAAAAGAAAGAAGCAGAGAUCAAACAGCUGUGGAGAAAUCUUAAUUUCAAAGCAACUCCCAUGCCCGCGUUAUACCGUGAACCUGACCACCGCUCAGAAAAAACCAAGGUUUCUUCGGGUUCAAAAGCUAAUGUACUUAAUCAACAUAAAAGUUCUUUAUGAAGCUAGAGGAGAAAGUGCAUACCAAAGAGGAAGAAACACGUCAGCUCCAAGCGAGAAAACAGG